rfam:Trametes versicolor FP-101664 SS1 unplaced genomic scaffold TRAVEscaffold_6, whole genome shotgun sequence.
GGCGAUAUGGCCGAGCGGUCUAAGGCGCCAGAAUCAGGACACUGUUCUAUCUGGUCUUCACGGGCGUGGGUUCGAAUCCCACUGUCGUCA